AUUGAACGCUGGCGGCAGGCCUAACACAUGCAAGUCGAACGAGUGGCGGACGGGAGAGAAAUGUCGGGGAAAUCGCUUGAUGGCGGGGGAUAACUACUGGAAGCGGUAGAUUAUACCGUAUACUAUCGGAUGUGCCGAGAUGGGAUUAGCUAGUAGGUGGGGUAAAGGCUCACCUAGGCGACGAUCCCUAGCUGGUCUGAGAGGAUGACCAGCCACACUGGAACUGAGACACGGUCCAGACUCCUACGGGAGGCAGCAGUGGGGAAUAUUGCACAAUGGGCGCAAGCCUGAUGCAGCCAUGCCGCGUGUAUGAAGAAGGCCUUCGGGUUGUAAAGUACUUUCAGCGGGGAGGCGUUACCCGCAGAAGAAGCACCGGCUAACUCCGUGCCAGCAGCCGCGGUAAUUC
rnacentral:rRNA from 1 species